rnacentral:tRNA from 1 species
GCUUUCGUAGCUCAGUUGGUUAGAGCAACCGUUUUGUAAGCAGGAGGUCUUGAGUUCAACUCUCCAUGAAAGCA